rnacentral:rRNA from 6 species
GGGAUCCACCCGUUCCCAUCCCGAACACGGAAGUUAAGCCCUCCAGCGCCGAUGGUACUUGGGGAUGACCCCUGGGAGAGUAGGUCGUUGCCAGGC